rnacentral:rRNA from 1 species
UACGUAGGGGGCAAGCGUUGUCCGGAUUUAUUGGGCGUAAAGAGCGUGUAGGCGGCCAGAUAGGUCCGUUGUGAAAACUGGAGGCUUAACCUCCAGCGGUCGAUGGAAACCAUUUGGCUAGAGUCCGGAAGAGGAGAGUGGAAUUCCUGGUGUAGCGGUGAAAUGCGCAGAUAUCGUAAGGAAGGCCAGUGGCGAAGGCGGAUCUCUGGACAGUUCCUGACGCUGAGGCACGAAGGCCAGGGGAGCAAACGGG